rnacentral:rRNA from 1 species
CCUACGGGCGGCAGCAGUGAGGAAUAUUGGUCAAUGGACGGAAGUCUGAACCAGCCAUGCCGCGUGCAGGAAGACGGCUCUAUGAGUUGUAAACUGCUUUUGUACAAGGGUAAACCUGAAUACGUGUAUUCAGCUGAAAGUACUGUACGAAUAAGGAUCGGCUAACUCCGUGCCAGCAGCCGCGGUAAUACGGAGGAUCCAAGCGUUAUCCGGAUUUAUUGGGUUUAAAGGGUGCGUAGGCGGAUUGAUAAGUUAGAGGUGAAAUGUCCGAGCUUAACUCGGGAACUGCCUCUAAUACUGUUGAUCUAGAGAGUAGAUGCGGUAGGCGGAAUGUAUGGUGUAGCGGUGAAAGGCUUAGAGAUCAUACAGAACACCGAUUGCGAAGGCAGCUUACCAAGCUAUAUCUGACGUUGAGGCACGAAAGCGUGGGGAGCAAACAGGAUUAGAUACCCCAGUAGUC